rnacentral:rRNA from 1 species
AUUGAACGCUGGCGGCAGGCCUAACACAUGCAAGUCGAGCGGAGCGGCAGACGGGUGAGUAAUGCCUAGGAAUCUGCCUGGUCGUGGGGGAUAACGUCCGGAAACGGGCGCUAAUACCGCAUACUAUCAGAUGAGCCUAGGUCGGUUUAGCUAGUUGGUGGGGGAAAGGCCUACCCAGGCGACGAUACGUAACUGGUCUGAGAGGAUGAUAAGUCACACUGGAACUGAGACGCUGUCGAGCUGCCUACGGGAGGCCGCAGUGGGGAAUAUUGGCCAAUGGGCGAAAGCCUUAUCCAGCCAUGCCGCGUGUGUGAAGAAGGUUUUCGGAUUUGAAAGUACUUUAAGUUUGGAGGCGUUACGCACAGAAUAAGCACCGGCUAACUUCGUGCCAGCCGACGCGGUAAUUC